CCCUUAGAUGUUCUGGGCCGCACGCGCGUUACACUGACGAAUGCAACGAGCUUAUAACCUUGGCCGAAAGGUCUGGGUAAUCUCCAAAUUUCGUCGUGAUGGGGAUAGAUUAUUGCAAUUAUUAAUCUUCAACGAGGAAUGCCUAGUAAGCGCAAGUCAUCAGCUUGCGUUGAUUACGUCCCUGCCCUUUGUACACACCGCCCGUCGCUCCUACCGAUUGAAUGGUCCGGUGAAGCGUUCGGACCGUGGCCUUUGGACGGUUCGCCGUCUGUUGGCUGCGGGAAGUUCGUUAAACCUUAUCAUUUAGAGGAAGGAGAAGUCGUANCA
rnacentral:rRNA from 1 species